UACGUAGGUGGCAAGCGUUGUCCGGAUUUAUUGGGUUUAAAGGGUGCGUAGGUGGUUUGCUAAGUCAGUGGUGAAAGCUGGUUGCUCAACAAUCAAGUUGCCAUUGAUACUGUCAGACUUGAGAGAAGUGGAGGCUCAUGGAAUGGAUGGUGUAGCGGUGAAAUGCAUAGAUAUCAUCCAGAACGUCAAUUGCGAAGGCAGUGGGCUGUACUUUUUCUGACACUGAGGCACGAAAGCGUGGGGAUCAAACAGGAUUAGAUACCCUGGUAGUCCACGCUGUAAACGAUGCGAACUAGCUUUUUGGUUUAGGAUUAGGAGGCUAAGGGAAACCGAUAAGUUCGCCACCUGGGGAGUACGCCGGCAACGGUGAA
rnacentral:rRNA from 1 species